CGAACGUUUGCGGCGGGCUUAACACAUGCAAGUCGAACGAGAAUCCCUUCGGGGAGGAAAGUGGCGCACGGGUGCGUAACACGUGGAUGACCUACCCCUUGGUUCGGGACAACAGCGGGAAACUGCUGCUAAUACCGGAUGUGUCGUAGCAAUACGAGAAAGGCCCGCAAGGGUCGCCAGAGGACGGGUCCGCGUCCCAUCAGCUAGUUGGUGAGGUAAUGGCUCACCAAGGCGAAGACGGGUAGCUGGUCUGAGAGGAUGAUCAGCCACACUGGAACUGAGACACGGUCCAGACUCCUACGGGAGGCAGCAGUGGGGAAUAUUGCGCAAUGGGCGAAAGCCUGACGCAGCCACGCCGCGUGAGCGAUGAAGGUCUUCGGAUCGUAAAGCUCUGUGGGGGGAGAAGAAGAAAAGUCGGUGAAGAGCCGGCCCUGACGGUAUCCCCUUAGCAAGCACCGGCUAACUCCGUGCCAGCAGCCGCGG
rnacentral:rRNA from 1 species